rnacentral:snoRNA from 1 species
AAUGAGAGUGAUGAGUUGCACGCUGGUGCAGCCAUGGUAUCAGGUGAUACAGGAGCCACUCAGUACCACCCUGGUGAAAAAAUCAAGUGUACAAAAAAAAAAUUAAA